CACACCGGAUUCCGGAUAGGCUUAGUUUGGAGAGUACGGAGCAGUCCACACCUGUACUGAAGACCCGCCAGACUCCCUACGGAAGCAGCAGUGGGAUUUGGACAAUUGGGGGAAAGUCUGAUUCCAGCCAUUCCCGCGUGUUAUGAUGAGGCCUUUCGGAUUGUAAAAGUACUUUUGGGCAGAGAAGAAAAGGUAUCUCCUAAUACCGAGGAAUACUGCUGACGGUAUCUGCAGAAAUAAGGCACCCGGCCUAACUACGUGCCAGCAGCCGCGGUAAUACGUAGGGUUGCAAGCGUUAAUCGGAAUUACUGGGCGUAAAGCGUGUGUAGGCGGUUCGGAAAGAAAGAUGUGAAAUCCCAGGGCUCAACCUUUGGAACUGCAUUUUUAACUGCCGAGCUAGAGUAUGUCAGAGGGGGGUAGAAUUCCACGUGUAGCAGUGAAAUGCGUAGAUAUGUGGAGGAAUACCGAUGGCGAAGGCAGCCCCCUGGGAUAAUACUGACGCUCAGACACGAAAGCGUGGGGAGCAAACAGGAUUAGAUACCCUGGUAGUCCACGCCCUAAACGAUGUCAACUAGCUGUUGGGGCCGUUAGGCCUUAGUAGCGCAGCUAACGCGUGAAGUUGACCGCCUGGGGAGUACGGUCGCAAGAUUAAAACUCAAAGGAAUUGACGGGGACCCGCACAAGCGGUGGAUGAUGUGGAUUAAUUCGAUGCAACGCGAAAAACCUUACCUACCCUUGACAUGUCUGGAAUGCCGAAGAGAUUUGGCAGUGCUCGCAAGAGAACCGGAACACAGGUGCUGCAUGGCUGUCGUCAGCUCGUGUCGUGAGAUGUUGGGUUAAGUCCCGCAACGAGCGCAACCCUUGUCAUUAGUUGCUACGCAAGAGCACUCUAAUGAGACUGCCGGUGACAAACCGGAGGAAGGUGGGGAUGACGUCAAGUCCUCAUGGCCCUUAUGGGUAGGGCUUCACACGUCAUACAAUGGUCGGGACAGAGGGUCGCCAACCCGCGAGGGGGAGCCAAUCUCAGAAACCCGAUCGUAGUCCGGAUCGCAGUCUGCAACUCGACUGCGUGAAGUCGGAAUCGCUAGUAAUCGCGGAUCAGAAUGUCGCGGUGAAUACGUUCCCGGGUCUUGUACACACCGCCCGUCACACCAUGGGAGUGGGUUUCACCAGAAGUAGGUAGCCUAACCGUAAGGAGGGCGCUACCACGGUGGAUUCAAAGG
rnacentral:rRNA from 1 species